ACCUGUCCUAAUCUAGCUUUUGAGCCUUUGGCUUGAAUCUCGAUCCACCUAUAUUAAAUUUACAUCUUUGACUUCGAGGCCAAAAUAAAUAAUUAAAUAAAUAAAUAAAUAAAUACAACAACCAUAAAUAAAUAACAACGGCAAAUAAAUAAAUAGAAAUGAGACUUGGGUCUCGUCGUCGCUUCAAGAAUGGGACUUUAUUAUUCUUCUUCAGACUCCUUAUCUACGCACUAUGAGAUUGUCUCCUUAUGACCUUCGAAAUCGACUCAUGAGGGAUAGGCCUCAAUGGCCCACAUUGAUAAUGCAACAAUGGGAAUAGAGUCCGUUUGGACUCAAAGACGGGUUCAUGCAAAGAAAAGGGGAAGGAAGAUAAGGAGUAGGAAAUAACUCAACUAAAAAUAAUUUAGAAAGGAAUUUUAAUCAAUACAUGAACACUGCAACAUGGCAACCAAUGGUUCAAUUCAUAUCGACAUAGUAGUAAUUUCAUUCAACAUGCAGGAAACCAUCUAGAUGUAGUGCUUGGCAGAACAUUAAAACAUAUUUGGCAUUCAUUAGUCUAACAAUAAUGUCAUAAAACCAAAAGAAAGGAAAACAUUAAGACAAAAUGAACCACGUUCAGCAGAAGAAAUCUCCUUAAUCUAACAUAGGUUUAAUUGCACCAAGCUUAUGGAACAGGAAAACAACACAUAAUUUAGACAUUACAUGACUUUCUAUUUCAAUACCAAGGAGAACUCGCAACAGAGGAUCAACUGAAUAAUCUCAAUGGUAAUGUUUGUCAAAGAAGACAUUUGUACUAAUGUUUUCAUAACUAGGAAGGUAAAGCCAUACGAGCAAUGAUACUUGUAACAAUUACACCUUUGGCAGCAAUAAAAAAAGAAAGCGUCCUUACUUAUACGUUCUAGAAACUAGAUGCAUUCACACAUAGGUAGAUGGUCGAAAACUUUGAAUCUGGGAGCAUCUUAACAAACCAAAUUGUCGAUAAUCUUUAAAGAUUCAUUAAUCAAUACGUAUGUGCAAGGAUAAAGGAGAGCAAGAAACAAGUUAAAGUCGGAUCCUAUCUUAUCAUCCAUUAUCAGAUUUGAGCAAAUCUACAGUCAAUGAUGGAAAAUAGGGGAACAUAUUUGUUUUAAAUUUGGCAUUAUAAACACAUAACCGUUAAAAAGACAGGAUGAGCAUGGAACCAGUCAGAAAAAAGGGAAAAGAAAACAACAACGAUAACAAUAAUAUUUUGUACAAUGUACAAGCAGGAGAUCGACGAUCAACCUCUCCCCUAAUCAUAUGAGAACAUUAGCAGGCAAUGUUUCACUCUAAAAAAAAAGAUUCUUGAUGCAGGUAGGGGCAGAAAGAAUGAAACGACAUUAUAGCGGAUUUUAAUAGAGACCAAAACCAAAUAAAAAUCAACCAGCUUUCAUCACAGCCUAUGGCUUUCAACGUCUCUACAACAGCUAAUCCCAGCACGCAAGAAAGAGUUAAAUUACCAUUUACUACUUCAAAAGCGAAGACGAGACAAAAUCAAGAUAGCGACGACAAACAAAACAACGUCAAAUACUAACCAUGAACAAGACACCAUCAGCCCUAAGCUACUAGACAAAGUCAAAGCAUGAAACUUUACUACGAAACCAGCUAUUCAAGAUAUUAGCAGCCCAAAACGAAAUCAAAGCAUGAAACUUUACUAUAAAGUCAGCUAUAACAAUAUACAAGCAGCCUAAAACUACCCAACAAAAUCAAAGUAUGAAACUUUAUCCUCGAUAUUAGCAUUCAAGACACAGGAAGUAGCUAACAAUAUCAAGAUUAAAUGACAAAAUUAAUGUCGAGGCAGAGAUAACAGAAAUCACCCAUCAAACGACUCAAAACAAGCAUUAAUCCAACGUAACAAUAAUUCAACACUUGCUUCAUUCAGAGAAACCUAUAGCCUUUAAGGCCUCUACAGCAGACAACCCAGCACAUCCUAUCACUAAAAGAAACCUACAACUUCAGAAGGUUGAGAUGAAGUAUAAAUCGUCAAAAACUCAAACGAAAAAGGAUAUUACCUAUUCGGGAGCAGCAAAACAGGGCUACGAGAUGGCGUUAGACUCCACCACCACUGGAAAGUUCAACGCCUCGACUCCGAAAAGCUUCGAGCAGUCGUCGACCAAAGAGCUUAUACUAAAAUAUGCUAUGUUUCUUUUCUUCCGAAACUUUUCCCCUAGUUGUCGAACUCAACUUUUCUCAGGAAGAUCUUUUUUCACACUAAAAUUUCUAAACCAAGAAUUUCCAACCCCCAGCGAAAAAUCCCCCCCAACCCAGCUCAACAGUGCGCUCUUUAUAUAGAAGCCAAUUUGAGGGUAAUUUAGGAAUUUCUUUUCCAAAAGGAAUUCAAAAUUUGAACUCAAAUUGAAUUACCCCCCAACAAAUUAUACCAAUUUGUUGUUUUUUCUUGGAUAAUUCGGUAUGGGUGGACCAAUAGGAUUUGGGAAAAAUGAGUUCCAUCAAGAACCAAUAGAAAUCCACCAAAUAUGUACGAAAUCGUACCCUUAUCCCGAGAUUCGUGAAAUUGAGCCGUUGGGGGUGACACCUAGCUUGUUUUAGAAGACUCGAGAUUUUUUGAUGGUGCGUAAUCGCGGGUUUAGGUCAGAUUUCGCUUGUGUUGGAGCUGUUUGUUGAUGGAGACGGGUCGAAGCUGGUUCGGGUAGGGUUCGUUCGGAUUUGGAUUGAGAGUUGCUGAUGUUUUUUGUACGCUGAUUUUUGUGUUCUUGUGUGUAUAUUGUUGUUGUUUGUUGAAGAAGAGAAAAUGGGCCGGGGUUGGAUUAAUUAAUUGGUGGGCUGGUGUGGUUAAGAAUGGGCUGCUGAUUAGUUCUAUGUGGCCCAAUGUAAAAUAAAUAGGGGUAGAAAUUUGAUAAUUUUAAAAAUGAC
rnacentral:lncRNA from 1 species